AAAGGAGCCAACAAUUCAGAGUGCUAAUGAUAAUGGAAAGAUUAAUGCUGAUUGUGAACUGUCGGGGAUAAUUAGCCAUCAAGAGGCAGGCACCGGACCCAUAUCCCAAACAAAGGAGCCAGAAGUUCGCGGUGCUAAUGAUAAUACAAACAUUAACGCUGAUUGUGAGGUGUCAAAGAGAAUUAGCCACCAAGAGGCAGGCACUGGACACAUAUCCCAAACAAAGGAGCCAGAAGUUUGCGGUGCUAAUGAUAAUGCAAACAUUAAUGCUGAUUGUGAGGUGUCGAAGAGAAUUAGCCACCAAGAGGCAGGCACCGGACACAUAUCCCAAACAAAGGAGCCAGAAGUUUGCGGUGCUAAUGAUAAUGCAAACAUUAAUGCUGAUUGUGAGGUGUCGAAGAGAAUUAGCCACCAUGAGGCAGGCUCCGGACACAUAUCCCAAACAAAGGAGCC
rnacentral:lncRNA from 1 species